GUCUCCGGCACCCGACACCAGCCUGCGGGGGACACGAUGCGGUGAAAGAGAAGAGUGUCCCUGCCUCACCUCCCAUUUCACGCCAGCAGAAACUCCCGGCUGCUCCUGCCAGCGAGCUCGGCUCCUUUCCUGCCGCUCUGCCUGGAGCCAGGCAAGUUUCCCAAGGACACUCUUGUCCUCCACGCCCGUGGCACAGACUGGCGGGGGGACCACCAAGCUCCCCAUCAUUUGGGGCAGGUUCUGCUCCCUGCCAAGCCGUGUCCCCCCCCUUUCCCUAAACUGGGAGCGCCCCAAACUCAGCCCGGGCGGCUCCUCCCUCGGCACAGGAUCAGCCCGUGCCGGUGUGUUUAUGUGACCGAAGGUCUCAGCUGAUCCUUUCUUUUCUGGUGCAGCCAAGAGGUUUGCAGCAACAGCCACGGCCAGUCCAAGUCC